UCAGGAUUCUAGUUGGACUUAUAUGGAAGCUUUCUGAUGGAAGUGAAGACUACCUUCUGCAGGCAAUUGCUCUGUCUAUGGAGACUAGGCUGUUCACUGGUGCCUCCUUUUGUGGCUUGUGUCCUUACUAUUUCUGACACUCCCUGCCAAUAGAUGGGUCAGUUUUAUAGAUCAGAUUAAGAAAACAGUGUCACAUAGGAUUAUCGUUCUUGGAGCAGGUAUAGAAACAAAAUCUUGCAGAUCUGAAGCCUCCCCCACAGCUUUUUGCUAAUUUAUCCAUCGGCCCUGCCUAAAACCUUCUCUACUGCUAGUGGGGCAUGAGUGAAGUUAAGAGUUUACCAGUCCUUCAUGCCGAUAAAUCAGAUCUCAAUGCUGGAAAUUUCAGAGCUUCCAUAAAAACCAGUCUCAUAGUGCUGAGGUAUGAAUCAUUCACUUAUAAUAUUUUUUUCUCAUCUUUAGACUGGAAAGAUGAAUUAUCACAUCACCUGCAUCCCCAGAUUUUUGAGCUUCCUUCUUAGAGCUUCAACAUUCAUGGGGAUAAUUGUCAGUGAACUUAAUAAAUUGUGGAAGAUGAUCUGUCAUAUCCCUGAUUAAUGGUCCCCAAAGUAUACACUUGUGAGCCAAUAAAGUCUGGUUAUUACACAGUU